rnacentral:rRNA from 1 species
GAUGAACGCUGGCGGCGUGCCUAAUACAUGCAAGUCGAGCGAACGGACGAGAAGCUUGCUUCUCUGAUGUUAGCGGCGGACGGGUGGGUAACACGUGGAUAACCUACCUAUAAGACUGGGGUAACUUCGGGAAACCGGAGCUACUACCGGAUGAUAUUUUGAACGGCAUGGUUCAAAAGUGAAAGACGGUCUUGCUGUCACUAAUAGAUGGAUCCGCGUUGCAUUAGCUAGUUGGUAAGGUAACGGCUUACCAAGGCAACGAUGCAUAGCCGACCUGAGAGGGUGAUCGGCCACACUGGAACUGAGACACGGUCCAGACUCCUACGGGAGGCAGCAGUAGGGAAUCUUCCGCAAUGGGCGCAAGCCUGACGGAGCAACGCCGCGUGAGUGAUGAAGGUCUUCGGAUCGUAAAACUCUGUUAUUAGGGAAGAACAUAUGUGUAAGUAACUGUGCACAUCUUGACGGUACCUAAUCAGAAAGCCCCGGCUAACUACGUG